UACUUUCUUGCCACUGUCAGGCUUACUCCUGCCUCCUAGACUGAGGAAAGAAAAGCCUCCUGGUUUGGAGCUCAUAAUCAAGUCAGCCUUGCUGCAGGGCUCAUUUUAAGCCAGUAUCCUGGACCAGAUAAGGAAGCUGAAGCUUUGAGAAUUUAAUUUGCUCAAGGGGAGGCCAGGACAAGAAAUAAUGAAGAGUCCGAUGUGGCAGGAAUGUAGGAAACAAGUCAAUGAUGGAAGAUAAAUAUGGAGACGUGAUGAAGGCAAAAUUCUGAAGGGUCUUAGAGCCCAUUAUAAGACGUUUGGUUUUUAUGACUAUGCCGUGCAAGACUUGGUAAACUGGUCCCUACCGCAGAGGAUUUUAUACAGAGCACGCUAGUGGCUCACAGAAUAUUUCACUGAUUGCCUUGCCCGCUUCUCAAAGGCCCACUUCUCUGUGGAAUGAUGCAGUUGCUAAGAAGAGCUGUUAAUGUCAUGACCUCAAUGAAUAAAAAAGACUUCCUUUUCUCCAUGCCCACUCAAGUAAAAGGCUUCUCUCUGAACUCCUGCUAAUUUUUCAUCAGCAAAGGUGCACAGCCUUUUGGAAGUGAAAUGAUUACUAGUGAAGAAAAAGAAAGAACCUAACACUUAUUUUACAAGCCUCCCAGUGACCACUCUUCAGACAAAACUUCUUAUAAUAGCUUCCUUCCCUGAAUCUUUUGCGAAACAUCAAAUCACAAAGAGAUCUUAUUUCUGGCAAGGAAGACUCAUAUAUGACUCCUGGUACAUGGGUACAAGGAUUCUAUAGGCUAUAUACCUAAUCGUGGAAUUGUUGAGUCUCAGAGUAUUCAAAUGUUCAACUUGACACAUUAUCAUGAAACUGUUCUCCAGAGUGGCUUUCCAAUUUACUCUUCCACCAAAAAUGUGUUCCUAUUGAUCUACAUCUUCUCUAGAACAUCUUAUUUUAGGUAAUUUAAUUUUUUCAUUGUUAUGAAAUGGUAUCUCACUGUCUUAUGCAUUUCUCUGGUUAAUAAUGAGAUUGGUCAUAAAUUCAUAUGUUCAUUGUGAAAUGUCUAUUCUUUUGUUGCCCAUUUCAUCUAUUGGGAUGGCUAUCUUCUAACCGAUUUUACAUAGUUCUAGUGGUUGUUUAUGCAUUCUGGAAACCGGUUCUUUAUUAAUCAUAGGUGUGGCAUUAUGGUUCACAUUGUUACUCUCUUGCUAUACUGUGAUGAACAGAAGUUUUUCAUUUUCAUGAAGUAGACUUAUCAACAUUUUCUUAUGUUUUAGAUGUUUAUUUAGAAACCCUUCUCUACAAACAUUCUAAUAUUUUCUUUUAAAAGUUUUGAAGUUUUGACUUUUACAUUUAAAUUAUUAAUCAAAUUAGAAUUAUCUUCCAUAUACAUGUGAGUCCUCAAUUCUUGCUCCAUUAAACAAUUUAUCCUUCCUCGCAUCAGUAUCUUCCCACCUUAAUUGCUAUUGGAUUAUAAUAACUCUUGAUAUUUGGUGUGCCAAAUUCCCCCAACAUAUUAAUCCUUUCGGAUAUUCUAUUCUCAGCCCUUUAUUUUUCCAUAUGAAACUCAGAAUCAUGAAGUUUAUUUAAAAUUCUGCUAGGAUUUUGAUAAAAAUUUCCAUAAAAAACUUUUCAGUUUGACAUUGUUAGGACUGAGUUUUCUUAUCCAUGAAUGUGAAAUAUCUGUGUUAUUUUAUCUGCAAAAUAAAGAUAAAGAAAUAUCUUUAUUAUUGUUUAAUGUUUUUAUGAAAAGUUCAUGAUUUUUUAUCUAGAGGUAUCACACAUCUUUUUUUAGAUAUAUUCUAGGAUACUUUUUAGUUUUGUUGCUUUUGUAAGUGUUGUCAUGUUGGGAGUCUCUGAGAACCUCCUCAAGCUUGAUGACCCACUAGAAGGACUCUCAGGACUUAGAAGUGGUUAUAUUGAUGGUCACAGUUUAUUAUAACAAAAAGACACAGAUAACAAUAAACAAAGAGAAAAGGCACAUGGGGUGAAGUUCAGGAGAAAUAAGGCACAAGCCUUCAGGUAUUCCCCUCCCAGGAGUAAAUAUGCUAACUGAAGCACACAAAAAAAGAAAAGAUAAAUGCAAAAAAGAGCAUAAAAUAUAUAUGACAUAGUUUUAAAAAUGUGUAACAUGCAUGUAAUUGAAGUAUCAGAAAGAAUGGAGACAAGGAAUAGGGGAAGAAGGAAUAUUUGAAGAGAUAAUAACCAAAAACUUUCUAAAACUAACCCACAAAAUCAAGAAAUUCUGAAGAAACUAGAAAAGAUACAUGCAAAAUAAAUCCCAUUUUGGCUCAUAGUGAACUCCUGAAAGCCAAGGACAAGGACCAAUUACUUAAAGCACCCAAAAAAAAACAACAUUGCUUUCAUAAUAGCAAUAAAAGACUAAUAACUGAAUUUUCUACACAAAUGAUGGAAGCUGGAAGAUAUAAAGAUCAUAAGGAUAUAUUCUAUUCCUGGAAUUGAUGUGCCUUGGUCAUAAUGUCUUUUUUAAAAUACAAAGUUGUAAUCAGGUUUCUAAAUAGUUUAAGAUUUUUGCAUCUAAUUGUUUGGAAAGUUCCCCCUUUUUUAUACUCAUAUCUGCAUUAGCUAUCAAGGCUAAAAAUGACUGCUUUAAAAGAGUUAAGGAAAGUUUCCUCUUUGUUAUACCUAUGAAAAAGUUUAUAUACAAUUAAAAUUUGAUGAUAACAUUUGUUAUAUUUUCUUAUAGAACUAUUUGUAUUUGGUGUUCUAUUUAUGAGGAGGCUUUUAAAAUAUUGAUUUGACUUCUUUAGUAGUUGUAGGGCACUGAAGUUUUCUGGUACUCUAACUGCAGCCCACGUAACUUAUCUUAUAUUCUCAUUAUCAUUUAGUUCUAAGUAUUUUUUUACUUUCUAUUAUAAAGUAUUCUUUGACCUAGGAGGUAUUUAGAAGUUUGCUUUUAAACUGUCAAAUGUAUGAAAUUGUCUUAAUUUUCCUUUUAUUACUAAUAGCUACAUUAUUUUCCUUCUUGUGAGAGAAGGUAGUCUGUGGUACUUUUGGAAAUAUUUAAAGACUUUUUGGCCUAGUAUGUGAUAAAUUUGUGAAAAUGUUCCUUGCAUGUCAAAAAGAAUUAUCCAGAAUUAUCCAAUAAUUGGAUAAAUGUUCUUAAUAUGUUUAUUAGGACAUUCAUGUUCAUUGUGUUUACAAUUUCUAUAACAUUGCUAGUUUUGAUCUGCUUUUCAUGUCAAUACCUGAGAUAGGUCUGUUUAAAUUUCUUACUAUAAUGGUAGAUUUGUUACAAUUUCAUUGUAGCCUGUACAUUUUUGCUUUAUAUAUGCUGAAUAAAUGUUAAUAUGUGCCCAUAUAAG
rnacentral:lncRNA from 1 species